rnacentral:rRNA from 1 species
CGCGUAGGCGGUCGAAUAAGUCAGAUGUGAAAGCCCCGAGCUUAACUUGGGAACUGCAUUUGAUACUGUUUGACUAGAGAGUGAGAGAGGAAAGUGGAAUUACGAGUGUAGAGGUGAAAUUCGUAGAUAUUCGUAAGAACACCAGUGGCGAAGGCGACUUUCUGGCUCACAACUGACGCUAAGGCGCGAAAGCGUGGGGAGCAAACAG